AGGACCCGAGUGGGGAGUUGGCUUUAUCAGUUUUAGAAAUGAAUGGGCAAAUAGCUAUCAUGCGAGGAGGCGCAGGUGGGGAGCAACCGACGAGGCAGAGAAAGAAGGCACCUUUAAAGCUAGAUAAGUCCUUGUAUCAAGUUUUCUUUGACUACCUUUCUCCCUCAUUACAAUCAAUAUUCUAUCCUGAAUGCUAAUAAAAUGGAUUUUUUGAGUUUAACCAAGAAUGCACGCUCCAAAGCAUGUUUUCUUAUUGUUUCUUCAAAUUUUUUGUUCUUCAAUUUUGGAUUCUAUUCUGGGCAACUUUUCUUAUGGGAGUAAUUCAUUGGUGGUGAGUCUGGAUACUUAUGUUUCCAAUUUGAGUUAUAUGCUUCUUGACCAAAAAAAAAAUUUGAGUUAUAUGCUUCUCCCUCCUCUACUUUGUGAAAAAGCAAAUCAUUAAUAAUAUGUACAGUAUUAGUAUGAUAUGGAUGGUUCAACUUUUAUUAAAAAUCUCUUCGUCCCAUUCAUCAUUAAUGAUCAUUCCUGCAAUUUAUUCACUUUUAAAAGACAUCAUUUUUUUAAAAAUUAUAAUCAUAAGUUUGAGUCAUUUGAGUCAUUUCUUCAUAUUGUAAAAUCAAUUCUAUAUACUAAGCAAUUGGUGGAAAUUUUCUUGAGUGAAAUAUACUUUGUUUCAGGCUAAUGCUUAUGUAAAGGUAGAGGGAGCAAUUGCUUGAAAUUUUCCAACACAGGCAAAUGAAGGUAGCAAUGUCAUGUUUCUCAAUCAAAUCUUGCUUUAGUUUGGUGGCAAUAUGUUUGGAAUCUGCUCAGCCCUUCAAUCUAUGUCCUGCAAGAACAAAUGAAAGCAAAAGGCAUGGAAGAUGUAUGGCGAGAAGAGUUGAUAGAGGACAUUGAGCAAAAGAUUGGGAUUCAAGGAAAUGGAAAAUGCAAGAAAGAAAGUGGAACUUGCUUACCAAACAUCAAUUUUUCCAAGACAUUCUGAAAUAACUUUUCCCAGCAUCAUUUUCCGCGGCUAAUAUCCAAGCAACUUAUUCUCUAGACUAUUGGUCAUUCUGUGAAAAGCUUUGUUAAUUUAUUUUGCGUGUGUUUGCAGCUGUUUGGAUUAUUAAGAACAUAUGAGAAUAUGGUUUGGAUUACUUAAAAUCACAUUGUGCUUGCCACAUGUUAGUCAACUGAUAAA